rnacentral:lncRNA from 1 species
UUCCGGAGUUUCCAAAGGUUGAAAUUCCACAAUUUCCCAAGCCCGAAUUUCCGGAGCUUCCAAAACCCGAAAUGCCCCAAAUUCCAGAGUUUCCAAAACCUGAGCUGCCAUCUUUUCCAAAACCCGAAAUGCCCCAUAUUCCAGAACUUCCAAAACUUCCAUUCCCAACCCUUCCCAAAGAGACUCCACUGCCUUAUGUUCCCCAUCCGACCACCACUUCUCCUUAAAUUUUCAACACUAUUACCUAAUCGUGUGUAUUUUAUUUAAAAUUAUAUCUACCCGAUGAAGGUGGCUCCAUCCUCCAUAUGUGUUCGCGUUUGGUUUGAUUAAUUAGUGUUAUGCUUUAUUUCGGAUAUCAUGUACUUUUUCUGAUUUUUUUACCCUUACACAUGUUUACAUUUUCAUAUGUGAUGGUCUUACUAUUACUUCAUCAUCACAUCAUGUAUUCAUGUUCCGUUGAUUUAUAUAUAUCGAGAUACUCAUUACUUUGGUUUGAUAUAUCAUCCAUUCUAAUUCUUUCAAUGGUUCAAAGUACCAACGACGAGG